GACGAACGCUGGCGGCGUGCUUAACACAUGCAAGUCGAACGGAAAGGCCCUGCGUUUGUGGGGUGCUCGAGUGGCGAACGGGUGAGUAACACGUGAGUAACCUGCCCUUGACUUUGGGAUAACUUCAGGAAACUGGGGCUAAUACCGGAUAGGAGCUCCUGCUGCAUGGUGUGGGUUGGAAAGUUUCGGCGGUUGGGGAUGGACUCGCGGCUUAUCAGCUUGUUGGUGGGGUAGUGGCUUACCAAGGCUUUGACGGGUAGCCGGCCUGAGAGGGUGACCGGCCACAUUGGGACUGAGAUACGGACCAGACUCCUACGGGAGGCAGCAGUGGGGAAUAUUGCACAAUGGGCGGAAGCCUGAUGCAGCAACGCCGCGUGCGGGAUGACGGCCUUCGGGUUGUAAACCGCUUUCGCCUGUGACGAAGCGUGAGUGACGGUAAUGGGUAAAGAAGCACCGGCUAACUACGUG
rnacentral:rRNA from 1 species